UACGUAGGUGACAAGCGUUGUCCGGAUUUACUGGGCGUAAAGAGCGCGCAGGCGGUCGAUCAAGUCGGGUGUGAAAGCCCCCGGCUCAACUGGGGAGGGUCAUUCGAUACUGAUCGACUCGAAGGCAGGAGAGGGUAGUGGAAUUCCCGGUGUAGUGGUGAAAUGCGUAGAUAUCGGGAGGAACACCAGUGGCGAAGGCGACUGCCUGGCCUGUUCUUGACGCUGAGGCGCGAAAGCUAGGGGAGCAAACGGG
rnacentral:rRNA from 1 species